GAGGGAGUCCAAACCUGUUUCACGGUGAAAUUAAUUAGAGCAGUAAUGGUAAAUAAAUGGUUUUACGGGUUAUCGUAAAUGUUGGGCAAAUUGUGCUGCAAAUUGAAAUUUAGCAAUGAGAGAGUUUUCUGUAAAUUUUCGAUCAUAGUUUUAUUCGUUCGGUAGUAAAUUACAGAUGUUUCAUGUAGCGUUAUAUUGUUUUGUUAAUUCUGUGAGUUACGUAGUUAGUAUUGCAUACGUACUUGAGAUUUUUGGUUCAAUUUUUAAUAACGAAUUGGUAGUAAAUUAAUUCUAUUUAUUUAUCAUUGAACUAUAUGAAUUUUGUUCAUCCCCCGAAAUGAUUCGAUGUUUUUAUACAAACAUUUUUCAUAAAAUGGCAUAUCCUUUUUUGGACAUACUACUGGUGAAUGUAUGCGCAUGCGCGUCGGACGAUAGGGGUAGUAAGUAGAAAAGUCGAAGUUACGAUCGACGUGAAUCAGUCUGUGUUCGACGACGUCCGAGCGACCGUUCAUUAUGAUAGUAUUUUAGACUUGAUAGUAAAUAGACUUUACACGUCUUUAUGGAUUGAUAAAGUCUUUUGCAAUAGCUUAAGUUGACAAUAAAAGGUUUCACCUAAUCAUACGAUCUUUAAAAAAAUCAUGUACUUCCACAAAAAUAAAUGAAUAAUAAUAACAGCUCUCUUCUAUUACUAUUGUUACUAAUACAUAAUAAUUAUUCUAAUAGUAUUAUCAAUAAUUACAAUAUGAACCAUUUCAUACUCUCAAGCAAUACCACAGUAAUACUAUACACCACUAUACACAAAGACAAAAGAUAUCUUCUUCUUCAGUGCACCAAACGUCCAUUAUUUUAUAUUCAACCUUCUUUUUUCUGGCCUCUAGUUAAAGACACCUUUGAACUGACAAUUGAACGGAUUGCUCCACGUAACCUUCCUAAGCAGUUUGAAUAAAAUUUAAUCCAGUCAAUAUCGACUAUCGUUUAGUUUCGCAUAAAGGAUUCCUGUUGAAUUUUUAGAUUCUACAGUGACGGAUAAAAGAAAAUUUUAAAUUGAUAUGUUUAUUGUUAAUAACUUUUGUACUGGAAAUUUUUUAUCACAUUGAUGACUGAUAUAUUAUAUUCAUUAAUUGUUCCUAUCAAAUAUAAAUCCAUAUUGUAAAAUGGUGCUUUUUUUUUUAUUAGUUUAUUUUUCAUGGUGCCUUUUUAUAUCUCUUGUCUUGUAAAUUUUCCUUUGUCCGUCACGGUACGUCCCUGUUCCUCUACCACCUCCACGUUUCCCGAACAUCCAGCUAAGCCUGUCAGCAGCGUUAUUGAUCCAGCUGGUAACGGACCGCGUCUAUGCAAUGAGGCCAUCUAUUCCCGAGAAUCGUAUAUGUAUAUAAGCUCGCUGGGCCAAGCGUUCAGGAUAGCCGUUCAGAAGGUGCUAACGUCGUAUUACGUAGACGGCGACAUUGCUUACGUAGACCGUAAUUAUGUUAGGCUUACCCACGCCUGUUUCUAAGUUUUAUACGGUUACAGUUGACAGCCUCCUCCAGUGGGAGAAUUUCGAAAUGUAUAUAAUUAGAGAGUAGGGGAAUUAUUGUGAUAAUGCUAAAAAUUUAGGAUCAAAUGUACUUGAAUAUAAAAAGAAGUAAGGAGAAAUUUAACCAUUUCAAUAUACUUUCCCAGUACAAGUAUAAUGGUUACAAAAAAAUAUUGGCACUCUAGUACAUUUCUUACAAUAUUGAGGUCUCCAUAUUGAGUAAUUAGGUACAAGUAUAUUAAAUUUCAUAUCAUUCUGUAGCACUUUCGUAUGGCUGCAAAAAUUUCAUAUUAUGAAAAUUACAUGAAAAAGACUGUUUUAUUUAUUAAGAAAUAAGUGUGCGUAGCCAGUGUACUUAAAGUUUCUUUAUGAUAAGACAAUUGCGCUGACUUGUGAACGAGCGUUUAAUUGACCUAGGGGGACUGAAAGGGGUCCCGGUGUUCCAUUAUGUACCGGCAACAAUCAAAUUUCGAAACUAUUAACAGGCAUUGAAACGGACACGUACACGCGGUCUGAUGCACGCGUGUGUACGCGUCUAGGUGAAGGAUAAGUGCAUUAGACGAGGUCUGAUAAGCUGGUGUGCGCGUGUGCAUAGUAAAAGUGGCGAGGAACAGUAGCGGCAAUUAACUCGCCAGCUGGUAGGCUAUAAAAAGCGCAAUUUCAUCCAGCUCGUUGCAAUGUAACCGAUAAUUACAAAAAUUUGUACUUCUUAUCGGUCCUUCGUUUGUUUCUUCGUCUCAAUUUUUUAGUUCAUUAUACUUUUCCCCCUUCAUUUUGAAAUGUAUUUUAUUUGUCGUAUAUGUUAUAUAAUAUGUAACAUUAUAAUAUUACAAGCGCGACACGGGAUUCAACAGCCAAACUUUCUCAAUGUAUCUUAUAGGUACAAUGAAGCGGAAAAUGUUAUAUCGAUCAUUUCAAACUUUACUAAAAUGUUAUUGUAAAAAUACGAAAGAUACGAAGAAGUAAUAAAUUGUUAAAUUAAGAAUUCUUCUAAUAAAAGACGCCGAGGGAAAAGAAAACGAACGUUAUUGUGUGUUUCAUCAUUAUUAAAUAAUUGCAUAUUAUAACGGUGAAAUAACAAAAAUUCCUUUUAAUUAUUUAAGAAACAUAUGCAAGUGUUAGGUAAUGUAUUGAUACUGUAUUGAUUUAUUGAAUGUAUUGAUUCAUAAUUUUUUGUUUUUAGGGAUAGAAAAGACGAAGAGAAGAAACGAGAAGCGAAAUGAAAAGAAGAGAAGAAAGUGUGGUGAAAAGUGUUUGCUUCUAUCGUAGAAGGGUGUGGAUCGUUCUUUUUUUUUGUUUAGGUUGCUACUCUGUAAGGACUUCCCUUUUCGGGUUCCCCUCGCGUAAUUUCUGAGCGGGAUUGUCGAGAGAAAAGUUCGUCGAUCCCAACGGACCAGAACUAAAGGCUAAAUUUCCGGCUAAACUCUCGGUUUCUCUUAUUCUCUCGGAUUCUGAAGUAUUCGCGCUUAUUUCUUUCGACAUUUAUGUUAUACGUGUUGCAUAACUUUUGUAUUUGGUUAGCUAAAAAUUGGCAAAAAUAAUAUAAUAGAAGUAUAAAUAAUUUUUUUUAUAGAUUAUUUUGUAUAGAUCUAUUAAAAUAUAGUGUGACUUGCAAAAGAUAUUUUUAAAAAUUGCUAAUGAAAUAUUUUUAUUGAGAAGAAUGAUGAUAAGAAAGAUGACUGAAAAUGUAAUUCAAGGAAAUCCAUCCUUUUAGUGUGGUACGUUAAGAAUUCUUGAAUAACAUAUGUAUGACUCAAAACUUUUCCUUUCUACGGUUUCCUUAACUGUAAUAAACACCUCCUCUUUGCAUGUUCUUAUUAAAUACAGUAAACACAUUUCUUUUGUACGUUCUUCGUUAAUAGAAUAUAACAAAAAUAUGUACUUUUUUAAUGUCUCUCCUUUAUCCAUUUUUCUUAAAGAAACUCUCAAUGGAAAAUUUGUAUUGAAAAGAAG